GCCCGGAUGGUGGAACGCAGACACGGCGACCUUAAAAGUCGCUGCCCCCUGGGUGUGCCGGUUCGAAUCCGGCUCCGGGCACCA
rnacentral:tRNA from 1 species